rnacentral:rRNA from 1 species
UACGUAGGGUGCAAGCGUUGUCCGGAAUUAUUGGGCGUAAAGAGCUCGUAGGCGGUUUGUUGCGUCGUCUGUGAAAUCCCGAGGCUCAACCUCGGGUCUGCAGUCGAUACGAGCAAACUAGAGUGUUGCAGGGGAGACUGGAAUUCCUGGUGUAGCGGUGAAAUGCGCAGAUAUCAGGAGGAACACCGGUGGCGAAGGCGGGUCUCUGGGCAACAACUGACGCUGAGGAGCGAAAGCGUGGGGAGCGAACAGG